rnacentral:rRNA from 1 species
AUUGAACGCUGGCGGCAUGCCUUACACAUGCCAGUCGAACGGCAGCACGGGUGCUUGCACCUGGUGGCGAGUGGCGAACGGGUGAGUAAUACAUCGGAACAUGUCCUGUAGUGGGGGAUAGCCCGGCGAAAGCCGGAUUAAUACCGCAUACGAUCCACGGAUGAAAGCGGGGGACCUUCGGGCCUCGCGCUAUAGGGUUGGCCGAUGGCUGGUUAGCUAGUUGGUGGGGUAAAGGCCUACCAAGGCGACGAUCAGUAGCUGGUCUGAGAGGACGACCAGCCACACUGGGACAGAGACACGGCCCAGACUCCUACGGGAGGCAGCAGUGGGGAAUUGUGGACAAUGGGCGAAAGCCUGAUCCAGCAAUGCCGCGUGUGUGAAGAAGGCCUUGGGGUUGUAAAGCACUUUUGUCCGGAAAGAAAUCCUUGACUCUAAUACAGUCGGGGGAUGACGGUACCGGAAGAAUAAGCACCGGCUAACUACG